GCAAGAAUGAAACUCAAAGGAAUUGACGGGGGCCCGCACAAGCGGAGGAACAUGUGGUUUAAUUCGAUGAUACGCGAGGAACCUUACCUGGGCUUAAAUGGGAGGCGCCUUCGGGCGUAGUCCUUCGAAAGGAGGCUUAAACUUUCAAGGUGCUGCAUGGUUGUCGUCAGCUCGUGCCGUGAGGUGUCGGGUUAAGUCCCAUAACGAGCGCAACCCUUAUUUCUAGUUGCCAACAGGUUAUGCUGGGGACUCCAGAGAGACUGCCAUCGUAAGAUGUGAGGAAGGUGGGGAUGACGUCAAAUCAGCACGGCCCUUAUGUCCAGGGCUACACACGUGUUACAAUGGUCUAUACAAAGGGCAGCUACCAGGUGACUGGAUGCUAAUCUCUAAAAUAGGCCUCAGUUCGGAUUGGAGUCUGCAAUUCGACUCCAUGAAGGCGGAUUCGCUAGUAAUCGGAUAUCAGCAAUGAUCCGGUGAAUACGUUCCCGGGCCUUGUACACACCGCCCGUCAAGCCAUGGAAGCUGGGGGUACCUGAAGUCUGCAACCGCAAGGAGUGGCCUAAGGUAAAACUAGUAACUAGGGCUAAGUCGUAACAAGGUA
rnacentral:rRNA from 1 species